CUCUUUGUGGUGUAAACGGUUAAAUACUUGUCUACUAAAUAAAAGGUUGGUGGUUCAAAUCCACCCAGAGGCA
rnacentral:tRNA from 1 species